rnacentral:rRNA from 1 species
UACGUAGGGGGCAAGCGUUGUCCGGAUUUAUUGGGCGUAAAGAGCGUGUAGGCGGCCACACAGGUCUGCUGUGAAAACUCGAGGCUCAACCUCGAGCUGUCGGUGGAAACCGUGUGGCUAGAGUCCGGAAGAGGAGAGUGGAAUUCCCGGUGUAGCGGUGAAAUGCGUAGAUAUCGGAAGGAACAUCAGUGGCGAAAGCGACUUCCUGGUCCAGCAUCGACGUUCAGGCACGAAAGCGUGGGGAGCAAACAGG